GCCACCGCCCACCGCCUGCUGCACCCCACCCUCUUCAGACACUACGCCACCGUGCGCAAUAGCUACACGUUCAAUAUACGCGAAGCUGGAAUUUGUGGUUCUGUGGCGAGACUUACAGCUGCGUACGAAAUUCUGACCGCACUGCGCAUCGGGCGCUCCUCCGCAAUGCUGAACAACACGACGCUUGUAUACGACGCGUUGCACGACGAUGAAAUGGUGUCAGUAGAUGCGUCAUUGGAACAGCUGACGCUGCGCGGGUACGCAACACUCGGACUGCGCACACAUAUUGUGUCGCUGCACGCUGUCAGGGCCGCAGCAGUACACACGCCCAAAGAUGGCGAGAUUAAACAAGCCUGGUUGUUUUCUGGUCCUGAAGCACCGACAACUUCGUAAG